AGAACAAACCAGUCCCGAUCAAUUUUUUUCUCCGACUAUUCAAAGUCCUUAAACCCUAAAAUUUCUCUUUGAACAUUCCAUCAUUAUCCAACAAUGUGAGACGUACAUACCUUCCAGGAUAAGAGCUUCGAGGUCUAAAUCUUUGGCGACGUUUUUCUCUGUCGCCGGUUGAACAAAGACGGCACCGUCAUCGGAAACGAUAUUCCGGGACGGAGAGCUUCUAAUUUAGGCACGUGUGUGGUUCACGCGUUGGAAUAUGUUUAG